rnacentral:rRNA from 1 species
UAGUCUGGUGCCAGCAGCCGCGGUAAUUCCAGCUCCAAUAGCGUAUAUUAAAGUUGUUGCAGUUAAAACGCUCGUAGUCGGAUUUCGGGGCAGGUUUGCCGGUCUGCCGAUGGGUAUGCACUGGUAGAACUGUCCUUCCUUCCGGAGACGGCGCCUACUCUUAACUGAGCGGGUGUCGGAGACGGAUCGUUUACUUUGAAAAAAUCAGAGUGUUUCAAGCAGGCAGCUCGCUUUUGCAUGGAUUAGCAUGGGAUAAUGAAAUAGGACUUUGGUGCUAUUUUGUUGGUUUCGAACACCGAAGUAAUGAUUAACAGGGACAGUCAGGGGCACUCGUAUUCCGCCGAGAGAGGUGAAAUUCUUAGACCAGCGGAAGACGAACCACUGCGAAAGCAUUUGCCAGGGAUGUCUUCACUGAUCAAGAACGAAAGUUAGGGGAUCGAAGACGAUCAGAUACCGUCGUAGUCUUAACCAUAAACCAUGCCGACUAGGGAUUGGAGGAUGUUCCUAUGUGACUCCUUCAGCACCUUUCGGGAAACUAAAGUCUUUGGGUUCCGGGGGGAGUAUGGUCGCAAGGCUGAAACUUAAAGGAAUUGACGGAAGGGCACCACCAGGAGUGGAGCCUGCGGCUUAAUUUGACUCAACACGGGGAAACUUACCAGGUCCAGACAUUGUGAGGAUUGACAGAUUGAGAGCUCUUUCUUGAUUCGAUGGGUGGUGGUGCAUGGCCGUUCUU